UACAUAGGGUGCAAGCGUUGUCCGGAAUUAUUGGGCGUAAAGAGCUCGUAGGUCGUUUGUUACGUCGGAUGUGAAAACCUGAGGCUCAACCUCAGGCCUGCAUUCGAUACGGGCAAACUAGAGUUUGGUAGGGGAGACUGGAAUUCCUGGUGUAGCGGUGGAAUGCGCAGAUAUCAGGAGGAACACCAAUGGCGAAGGCAGGUCUCUGGACCAAUACUGACACUGAGGAGCGAAAGUCUGGGGAGCGAACAGG
rnacentral:rRNA from 1 species